GACGAACGCUGGCGGCGUGCCUAACACAUGCAAGUCGAACGGAAGUUAGAGCUUCGGUUUUAACUUUAGUGGCGAACGGGUGAGUAACGCGUGAGGAACCUGCCUUUCAGUGGGGGACAACAGUUGGAAACGACUGCUAAUACCGCAUGAUGCUUUUGGGAGACAUCUCCUGAAAGUCAAAGCUUUAUGUGCUGAAAGAUGGCCUCGCGUCUGAUUAGCUAGUUGGUGAGGUAACGGCUCACCAAGGCGACGAUCAGUAGCCGGUCUGAGAGGAUGAACGGCCACAUUGGGACUGAGAUACGGCCCAGACUCCUACGGGAGGCAGCAGUGGGGAAUAUUGGGCAAUGGGGGAAACCCCGACCCAGCAACGCCGCGUGAAGGAAGAAGGCCUUCGGGUUGUAAACUUCUUUUACCAGGGACGAAGGACGUGACGGUACCUGGAGAAAAAGCAACGG
rnacentral:rRNA from 1 species